GAUUACAGGUGUGAGCCACUGCACCUGGCCUUAAUCUCUUUUUUGCCCCCUCUUUUCUUUUCUUAUCUGGAGCCUCCCCUUCCCAAAAUUGGAUGGGUCUCUUCCUUCCAUGUCAUGCUCCCUUUGUUUACCCGAGUUACCACUAUCUAGAUAACCCAAAUCCUGCCCCUCAAAACUCGAGAUUUGAAUGUUAUGCUUUCUGUGAAUGUGGUAACCUUUCAGGGAAUUUUCACUGGAUUUUUAUGUAGACCUAUAGGUGGUAUCCAGGAUUCUAGUGAUGUGCUUUCACUAUUACUUCUCUCUCUGUUUAUAGUGUUUCUGUGACAAAGAAACACAUUGUAGGAAUGUAGCUUUUAGCAGAAGGAUUCUUGUUUCAUGUUUCCUGAUUAAUUUCAACUCCCUGCCAACACUUUCUGUCCCUGCUUUAUUUUUUUCUUCAACAUUUACCACUAUUUGACAUACUAUAUGUUUUACUAAUUUAUCUUGCUUAUUAUCUAUUUCUCCAGUAGAAUGUAAGAUCCACGAUGGCAGGGGUUUUUACCUAUUUUAUAUACUGCAGUAUCCCCAGUAUCUAGAAUAGUACUGUACAUGUAGUUAAUGAUCCAUAAAUGCUUACUGAAUGAAUUAAUGAAUCAAUGACUGAAUCCUCUUACUUGCAAUAGGGAAUAUUCAGUGCAGAAAAGAAAAAACUGUACCGUUCAUACAUUUUUACAGUGCUUUGAUUUUUAAAAAAUUUUUUGUUGUUAUUUCUAGGACAAAAGAGUUUUGUCUUCUCCAGCUAACCUGGGGAAGUGAUACCAGUCUCUUCAAGUCAGGAAGCAGGUUUUGAGUGUCUUUUGUGCUUAGUAUCACCUUUUUAGAUACCCAUAACCCUGAGCUAGCAGCUGGUAGACUUGUAAAUGAGCCUCAUUGUCUUGGUCUUCAUUUGAUGUUAGACUUUUCCUCACACUCAUGAUUGGAAAGUCCUUGAGAUAUGUCUGGACCUGAGGCCUAGGGUCACCCUAAAUGUUUGCUGCCAAUCAGAAUGCAAGCACUAACUAAACUGUUAAAGCUUCAUGCUGUGAUAUUAACAAUAAUUGGUUUUGUGUUGCAAUCCAUACCCUUUUCUUUCUAUCCAAUAGAGGUACCAUCAUUGAUCUACAAAUUAGGCGCAGUUACAGAUGGAUCCUGAAUUUGUAGGCCUGAUGUUUAUACAAUUUUGGGAAACACACCUCAAGGAAAAUAAUAUAAAAUUAUAAAUUAUAAACCUUUAGUGCACCUCCCAGGGCUUUGCAAGAGGCCCAUACAAAUUGAGAAGGCCUAAAGCUUAAGCUUUCUUGACCUCCUGAUAAAUCUCCUUUUAAGUCCAAUCCAGAAAAUUCUUGGAAUCACAACAGCUACAAGAAAUUUUAUAUGCUGAGGAGUAAGGGUGGGGGCAUCAGUGAUAGCCAGUGAGUCAUUAGCCAUCUUUCUUCUAAGUUGGUCCAGGUGGUAUGGUGAAAAAAAGCAGAAAAUACUAUCAGUUAAACAUGAACAAUUGACCAGGUAUUAAUAUGUGCACUUUUAUGGAGAUGAGUUGGAUUAGUUGGUAGUGGUGAGUGGAACAGAAUGAUGUAUGUACUGCUACCCUGAUUUUCUUCCCCAAUGUCAAAUAAGCCUCCCUUCCAUAGGGCUUUGACUCUAUACAGGUUAAGAUUGAAACAAAGGAUGGCUGAUGGUGUUCCUUUGUGCCACCACACUGAUUGAAAUGUAUUUGCAGGCACCUGCUCAAAUUUAAGAGCUCUGCAUAAAGUAGAAAUACAAAUGUGUGCAUUUCAAAUGGCUGCUGAUACAGGGAAACUGCAGGUGCAGUUUGGAUAUAGUUAUGAUAUGAAUAGAAAUGCAAAUUCAAUGAAUAAAUAUAUCAGAACACAUCAUUGCACUUACUGUACACCUGAAGUUGUAGGAUUAAUUAUAGAGUUUAUGAAAUGAUAUAAAAUGCAGUAUGAAAUAUGAGGUGGGUUAUUUUUAUUAGAGUAGAAAUAAUGGCAGUGGAAAUACUAUAAGCAACUCCUGAUUAUCUGUGAGCAGAUUAUAUGUUUUACUGUUCUAUGUAAGUCAAAGUAAAUUAACAGAGUAGAGGAAUGGUUGAAUGCACUUACAGGAAAAUUAAUGACACUGUUAACAAUCACUUAGAUAAAUAGUGACUCUUUUAUUGGUGGUUACCUGGUACUUGUAAAGUAGGGAAUUUAUGAUCUCUUUUUUCUUCUGUAAAAUCAGUCAUGGCUUGUAUAGU